ensembl:lncRNA
UGGCUGGAUGAAAAAGAAUACUAAAACUAAAAAAGAAAGUGAAAGAUGCUGUAAAAGGAAGUUGAAGCAACAUGCUCACAUGCCCAUGUUAUAUGUGGCCAUGUUCCUGCAAGAGUCCCUUUCAAGGAAGUCCUGCCAGACACACAAACAGGUUGGUCUGCAACAGCCUACAUAACACUUUCACACUUUAAUUUGCUAACUAUUUUGAGACAGGAAUGAUGUUUACAAGCUUUCUAAAGUGGAUUUCUUAUGGAAAUAUCUGUUUGUUGAACUUUUUUGGGUAUCCAAUAACCAUUUAGAUUUUAGAAUUAACAAUUUGCUCUUUCACAGACUACUAUUUGUGAUUUGAAAUUCUUCUGUAUGCUGCAAAAGACAAUCAGUAAAAAGUUUGAUUAAAAAAUAGUUACACGUCCUUCUGGCAGACUUACAACGACAGAUAUAAAACUAGAAAUAAUGCCAGAGAGUGAAAGACCAAAAUGCACCUCCGAACCUCGAACAACAAUAUUAGGGUGUAUCCUGGUGAUUUCCUGCAUCCUGUUCAUUGCUCAAGUGAUAGCUGCUUUAGCAACUGAUGAAUGCAAAGGAGAGUUCUACAUCCCCAUAUGCAUCUAUAAUUAUGGAUUCAUAUCUGCAUUUCUGGCACUGAGCAUGUGCACAGCGAAAAGAAUGCAGCAGUUUCCAAUUACACCAAGAAAGCAGUUGCUGUACCUGCUGCACCGAGGGCGGUGCAAGUGGUGCAACAUAGGCUGUUGCUCUGUGCCCCUCCUCGUCGUCUGUUUCUUUUACCUUGGUGUUAAUGUGUUCAUGUACUCGGAUAUAAAACCCAACUUCAAUAAGAGCGUAACCACAGGCAUUAUCUACUGCAACAAGACUUUCUACCUGUUUGCAUUUUGGAGCACCAACCUGACCUACGGCCUGUUGGGGCUGCUGUUCAUCACUUUUUGGUGUUGUAAACGACAACAGCCUGAAGACGGAGAUGAGGCUCAAAUACUCGUCCAGCAUUACCACACUAGGAUCCUAUGGUUCACUGUAUAUGAAGUCUAAUGUAUGUACUUUUAAAAAUUCUAACAGGUUAUCAUAUUGCAACAAAACUAUUACUAUAUGCUUCUUAAUUGGUUUUGCCUUGUAGAAAAAUGUUUGUUUCUACAUUAUUACCAGUUUCUGUGCUGUUUUUAAAUACAUCCAUGUAAUGUUACUUAUGUAUAACCACUGUUGAUACCAGGUAAUUACUACUGUAUUGUAUUUGACCAAAUUCCUGUGUAUUUUGUUUGAACCUAAAUAUAUUUACCUACAAAAACAUUAGAAACAGCAGAUCAGGGGAAGAAUAAUUCAAGGCUUUGGAGGAAAAAGUAAUUAUACUAGAAAUUAAAUUAAAUAAAAGAAAUUUAAGUAGUUGAUCAUUUCCAGGUAUUUUAGAGGUGGGAAGAAUCCUUUUUAUUUUUACAUUUUUAUUAUGAAAUAUAUUGUUGUGCGUCCUGCCUCUCACCCUAUGACAGCUGGGAUAGGCUCCAGUCCUCCUGUGACCCUGAAUGUGCAUCAUAAGAAUUUAACUAUUUAAUUGUGCUCUUACACUAUAUAUACAAUUUAUAUUAGACUACAUCAUGUAAAAUGUAAUAGGGACUGUCCUACCAUUUGUAAUAACAACAACAAACAUUGCAUAGCAAAGGCCCAUGUGAUCUUAUAAUGAUGGAGUCAGGUCUAAUUUGAUUUUCUUCUUUCAUAAACACUGUUCCAC